AAGUCGUAACAAGGUUUCCGUAGGUGAACCUGCGGAAGGAUCAUUACCGAAGUCAAGGCCCCUUGGGGGGCUAAACUUCCACCCUUUGUUUACCUUACCAUUGUUGCUUUGGCGGGCCGCCUUAGGCCACCGGCUCUCGAGCUGGUGCGUGCCCGCCAGAGACCCCCAAACCCAAACCAUAUUUAGUGUCGUCUGAAAACAAGUUUAAAUUAUUAAAACUUUCAACAACGGAUCUCUUGGCUCUG
rnacentral:misc_RNA from 1 species